UUCUUUUACAUGGCUUUUGUUUACGUUAAGCAUGUAAUUAACACCCCCCAAACAAGUUUAUUCACCUGCCCUAAUUGUGUGUUUAUCCGAGGGCUUGCUGAAUGUUCUGAGCAGCGGGGGACGAGAGCUCUGAAUGCACAUGGAGCAUUUAGCGUCUUCUCCGUUUACUUACAGCCUAAACCUCCAGACACGACAACACAAACAGCAUUUUGCACGCUAAAAACCCUGAUAAUAUGCUGGUCAAGCCGACUGGGACGCCUGCAGAUUGCUUUGCACCGACACCUCUCUUCCUGUGUGACCUGAUUUCUGUUGAUUGGUUGAGUGAUUGGUUAAUUGUAAAGCACUUUGUCAAACUUUCUUUAGAAAACUUUGACAUAUAUCGAGUUUCUGCUGUUAAAGAAAUGUUAGGUUUGCUCCAAACUGUUCUUGCAGCAUGCAGUGUCUUCUUAAAAAGUUACCAAACUGGUUAAUUGCCAAUUAGCAAGUUGUUUUCAUUAUCAGUCUGUUCCAAUAAGGGCAGCAAAUAAACAAAGCUGGUGUUACGUCACGUACUAGUGAGAGAGAGAGAGAGAGAAGGGGACCGGAUGAGAGAAAGAAAGAAAAAGGUGUUGACUGUAAAAGGUAAGAAGGGAAAGGGAAAGAGAUAGAAGGCACGAAAGAAAGGGUCUUGUUUUAUUUAUUUUUUUUGCUCCCUCGUUGACCCCGGUUUGGCAGAGGCUGGCCAGAAAAGGCAGCACACUCCUCCCUGGCAAAGAUAGGAGAGACUCAUGUGUGCCGGCUGUGCCAUCCUGGAUUCAUCUCAACAAUACACAGCACGGGACUUUGGAGUAAUGACGGAGCUGUGAGCAGAGUCCAGUCCACGGACUGUCACCAUUCGAGCUUGGGACUGGGACGUGACACUGGUUCACUGCUAUUUCACUGGUCAGUUUGUCCAAGAUCAGGAUGGAAAUCCAACCGCUGCACCUGUAAGGAGGAUGUGUCCAGUGUUGCCACCGUCCUCACCCCGCAACAACCCCGCCACCGCACAGACCCUGUUUGUUUUUCUGCGUUUAUUAAAUCUUCCCCGGCAGGAAAACGACCAAUAUCACCACGUCACCGGGUGCUGACACAUCUAUACUGGAGACAGGGGAGAGAGGGGGAAAGAUUUUGGUCGUCUGCCUAUCUCCUCCUCACCAUGGCGCCCCUGAGACCAAGCAAGCAAGGAGAGAACACAGACACACACACUUUUAGCCGCCACAGAGGAGAACAGCUUGGCUCUGUGUUACACUGAAAACCCCACUUUCCCCUCAAUCAGACAGACAGGUAGACAGCUGGGUGUUACGCUAAAUCCCUUCCCCCAUGUGUCCCUUCCUAACAAGGGCUCCGCUCUUACUGUCACUUCUCUCUUUCUGCUGCUCUCUUUAUUCCAUGCCUCGUGCUUAAAAAGCGAGAGAAGGGAGUCAGCUUUGGGAAAUAUACUAACUAUGAUAUGAUUGUAAAGCACAGUAGUUUAUGAAUAGUUUAGAGGAGGUGUCACGGUUUAAAACUGCAAGAUUAGUCAGCAGAAACAACCGUUUAAAGAUGCUGAAAAUGAAGCGUUAUCUGUCCCUCUCUUGUCUCUCUCCACCCUGACCCCAAGUUCACUCCUUCUAAGCACCACUUCACCCCCAAGCCCACAUUUAGUGCGUGUGUGUGUGUGUGUGUGUGUAGGCUGAGAGUGUUUUGGUUUCCUGUGUGUGUGAUAGAGAGAGAUGAGAGAGGAUGAUGGUCAGGCUUGGCCUACUGACUCAUCCACAGAGAGAACUGUGUUGAUACAGGAAUGAAGCCAUCACA